rnacentral:rRNA from 1 species
GAUGAACGCUGGCGGCGUGCCUAAUACAUGCAAGUCGAGCGAACAGACGAGGAGCUUGCUCCUCUGACGUUAGCGGCGGACGGGUGAGUAACACGUGGAUAACCUACCUAUAAGACUGGGAUAACUUCGGGAAACCGGAGCUAAUACCGGAUAAUAUAUUGAACCGCAUGGUUCAAUAGUGAAAGACGGUUUUGCUGUCACUUAUAGAUGGAUCCGCGCCGCAUUAGCUAGUUGGUAAGGUAACGGCUUACCAAGGCGACGCUGCGUAGCCGACCUGAGAGGGUGAUCGGCCACACUGGAACUGAGACACGGUCCAGACUCCUACGAGAGGCAGCAGUAGGGAAUCUUCCGCAAUGGGCGAAAUCCUGACGGAGCAACGCCGCGUGAGUGAUGAAGGUCUUCGGAUCGUAAAACUCUGUUAUUGGGGAAGAACAAAUGUGUAAGUAACUAUGCACGUCUUGACGAUACCUAAUCAGAAAGCCACGGCUAACUACGUG